UACCAGCACCCCGAGUGGUCGGGACGAUUAUUGGGCCUAAAGCAUCCGUAGCCGGUUCUGCAAGUCUUCCGUUAAAUCCAGCCGCUCAACGGAUGGGCCGCGGAGGAUACUACAGGACUAGGAGGCGGGAGAGGCAAGCGGUACUCAGUGGGUAGGGGUAAAAUCCUUUGAUCCAUUGAAGACCACCAGUGGCGAAGGCGGCUUGCCAGAACGCGCUCGACGGUGAGGGAUGAAAGCUGGGGGAGCAAACCGG
rnacentral:rRNA from 3 species